ACAGCUUCUGCAUGGAUCUCAGCAUGUCUGGCGGACAUCUCGUCAUGGAUGACGGCUCGUCGGCUGAAACCGAAUUCCAGCAAAACUGAACUGCUGAUCAUCCCAGGUGACUCACACUGAUAUACCCAUACACGAGUCUCUGAUCUUCACUUUGGCCACUGCUUGCGACCUCGGGGUAAUCCUGGUCGAUCAACUGUCCUUUCCUCACAUAAUGCUCAUGUCGGUUUCUUGUUUACAACACCAGAAGGAUUUGCCUGUUUUUAUCCACACAGGCUACUCAGAUAUUUAAUCAGUCUCUUGUCAUUUUGAGCCUGGACUACUGCAGCUCUCUGCUCUCAGGUCUACUUCUGAAUGCAAUUUGACCUACAAAUGAUCCAAAAUGCAGCUGAACGACUUGUUUUCAACCUGCCUAAAUUCUCCCACACCACACCACCCCACUGCUGGGUUCCCUACACUGGCCGCAUCUGGAAGCUGCCUGCAUCAGAUUCAAAACAUCGAUGCUUGCCUGCAAAGCCAAAAAUGGUCCAGCUCCUUCUUACCUCAAAGCUCUUAUCACUCUGCAUGCUGCACCAUGAUGCUCCAAGAUCUACUAGCACUACUCGACUGGUUCUACCAUGUCUCAGGGUACAAGCGAGCCAGUAUCGAUGCUCACUGAUGGACUUUGCAUGCUGCUCUGGAUAAGAGCGUCUGCUAAAUGCUGUAAAAGUAAAUGUCACAGGGAGCCUGUGCCUAUCCCAGGCGUCAUCGGGCAUCGAGG